rnacentral:tRNA from 2 species
GGAGAGGUGGAUGAGUGGUUUAAGUCGCACGCCUGGAAAGCGUGUAUAGGUUCAUAGCCUAUCGGGGGUUCGAAUCCCCCCUUCUCCGCCA